rnacentral:antisense_RNA from 1 species
CACUGACAUCAUGGCUUCGUUUUUCGAGCCUUGGCCAACCGCCAGGUAAGAUGUCAUACCCAGCUCUUUCAUUUCUUGCUCACCGAUGAUCUUGGUGCUGACUGUUUCAAAGUCAUCCGCCAGGCGGCGUGCCUGGGAAGCCAGAUAGGCAGGGUUUGCCACAUUUGGUGGCAUAUUGCCAAGAUCUUUACC